GUGUCCUGAGAGACUGGCGAGGACAGCGCCCUGGGGACUGCGGCUCUGAUGUCCUGGCCUCCCUGGCUCCACCCCCUGCGGAAUCUCGUCUCUGGCCCCAGCUUUGGUUCCUGGCCUGGAAACCUGCCUGCUGUCCUCAGAGAUUUCAGCCUGUCUUGCGUUCCUUUGCACUCAGUCAUUCAACAAGUGGACCUGAGCAGCUCCCGGUGCCCAGCCCAGGGCCUGUGGAUCUCCGUGUUGGUUUUGCCAGAAUGCAGGAAAGACUUGGCUUUGCUGGGCCUCCAGGGGUUGCUGGCCAGUAGGAGGAGUCGCCUGGGGCCCGGGGAGGGGUCGGCUCUGACCUCGCAGGCCCAGGCUCCGCCCUCGCAGGCGCAAGCUCUGCCCUCCACAGGCGCAGCCUCGGCUCGCAGGGCGCAGGGCGCAGGGCGACCUGGGGGUUCCUCCGCAGGCUCCCAGGGUCCCCAGGUCCGAAAGCGCUGGCCGUGGCCGUGGUGGGCCGCUUGCGGGGAACUCAGUAGAUCCCUGCGCCACAAAAAUAAAAUACAAGUGCAGAAAGUUUUAUUUUGUGAACACUUACCGUCUGCCUUCUGA
rnacentral:lncRNA from 1 species